rnacentral:lncRNA from 10 species
AGGAAAUCCCUCUGUCAUCUGCCGCUGUUUGGGGCCAAAAGCUUGAACUGUGAUGAAUUUUGUGAAAGGGAGAACUGCCUCAUUCUGCCAAAGCCGUUCAGAAGUGAGUCACUAGCCCAGAACAGGCCCCACAUAGCUGCACCAGCUCAGACUCCAUCUAGCUGCACCUGCAGGAGCUAAGGCUCGAGGUGGACAUCGGGCCUGGGCCCCAGGGCAGAGUCAUGACCAACAGGGGGCAGCCCAGGGAGCUACUCCCCAGCCUUCAGUGGGCCCCACUUCCCUUCCCUCCUCCCCUCCCUGAAGGCCCCUCCCAGACCGCUUGGCCUCCGGCCUUGCCUCCUCCAACCUGAUCUCCUGGGGUUGCUCAAGGGUCUCCUCUAAAAAGCAAAUCCGGUCUUGUCUUUCCCCUGCCUGCCGCAUUCCGUGGCUCCUCACUGCUCUCAGGAGAAAGACCAAAGUCCCUGUGUGCUCCCAAGCCCUCUCCUGAUGAUGCAGAGGCGUGGCCCAUAGGGACUGAGAGCUGCUCACUUCAGGCAGAAGCCAGGCAUCCUGGCAGCCCCUGAGAGCCGCCCAGCUGGCCAGAAGGACCUGCUCCCAGGCCUCCCUUUCCCUGUAAUUCAUAUAUAGAAAGCAUCUAAAUCAGGAGCCAACCCUCCACCAGAGGGAGCGGCGCCCUGGAGGUGGAAGUGGAGCUUUUCUUAGUCAUUACAUUUGGUUUUGUUUUGGGGGAAAAAAACAAAAUGAAACAAUUAAGGUCUUAUUUUCACAAUCACCUGUGGAAUGAGGAGGCUUCCAGAUGGUAUUUGGUGAGAGCACCAGGAACCUUGUGGUCCUGUGAGGGCAUUCAGGGGUAGGGAGUCUAACUCAUCACCCAAUCCUCAUGGCUCCAACUUUAAACACACCCAGAAGCCUAUCUCGUCCCCCAGCCCAGCUCCGUCGCCUGCACCUGGUCCAAGCUGAGGCCCCUCUGCCCCAGCCUCCUGGUUGCCCCACUGUUUCUGCCCUGGGCCUGCUCCAGUCCCUUCUCACGGACAGCCAGAGCCAAGCCUCUGCUCCAGUAAGGGAUCUCUCCAAAGGCUCCUGUCUCCCUCCGGGUAAGGCCAGGGUCCUAAUCACGGCCCACAGAGGCCGACACCACCGCCUCUGACCUCCCUCCCUCUGUCUCCAGCUUUCCUGGGAUCCCGCCUGGGAUCCCCUCUGCCCAGCACUCAGACCUCCUGCACCAGCUGUUCCCCUGCCUGGAACAUUCUCCACUCCCCCCAGGUCCACAGGGUCUGAGCCUCAUGUCCUACAGAUGUCACUCAAAGGGUGGCCCUUCACUGGCUUCCCUGAUGGCACCACUUCCUGCCCACUGGUCCUUCUCCCCCUCCCUCACUCUGCCUCAUCUAGCCCUGGACACUCCACCAAUCUGAUACAUCUUUAUUUCUCUGUUUAUUGUCUAGUUUCCCUCCAUGCCCACCAGGAUGUAAGCUCUGAGAGCAGGGGCUUUGUUUCAUUCGCUGCCAUAAUUCCAGUACCAAGAACAAUGCCUGGCACCUCCUAGUAGGUGCUCAAUAAAUAUUUAUUGAAUGAAUGAAUGAUUGAAUUAUGUCUGUCAUUGACAGAGGGAAGUCUGGGCAACAUAGUGAGACCCCAUCUCUACCAAAACUAAAUAAUUAGCCAGGUGUGGUGGUGCAUGCCUGUAAUCCCAGCUACUCCAGAGGCUGAUACAGGAGGAUUGCUUGGUCCCAGGAGGUAGAGGCCACAGUGAGCCAUGAUCACACUGCUGCACUCCAGCCUAGGCAACAGAGAGAGAUAUAGUCUCAAAAAAAAAAAAAAAAAAAGGAAAAGAAAAAAAGAAAAGAAAAUACAUAGGGGUGGGCAGAUUUCCCCUAAGAUGCUCUAAGGAUGCCCUCUCUAGGUGCAGGAGUCAGUCUAAAGUUACCUCCUGGGGGAAGUCUUCUGUCCAGUUUUUAAAUGGAAGUUCUAGCUGCAGGCAGCAAGUCUCAUCACUGAAUAGAACCGGUUUUCAUUUGGUGCAAACACUAUCUCCUCCAGGAAGCCCUCCCAGGACCCUUCCCAGCCCCUAGUGAAAGUGCCUCCCUCCUGCUAGCCUGCCACUUUCUCCCUUGUGGUCCAUUCUGGAUGUCAGUGCCGGGCCAGUGAGCAUCCUAGCGGGCGCCUGAGUCAUACCCGGAGUGCACCUGGAGAGCCCCUUUCUGCUCACACUUUACAGGGCCCCAUGCUGGCCUCAGACACGCCCAUCUUCUCAUUUAAGCCUUACAACAACCUUCCGAGGUAGUCAUCACCAUCCCCAUCUUACAGAUAAGGAAACUGCGGUCAGAGGCCACAGAGGUGACUUACCCGAGCCCCACACCUGGUGUCACAGUGGAGUGGAGCCUGGCUCCUUGGCCCUGAGUUCAGCCCCCAUCACAGCUGCCGAAUUCACAGUCAGUGCUCAACACGUGUUCACGUGUUUGGAGGACGAACCAAACCCGAGUUCUCGGGGCUCCCCAGCCAGCAUGAAGACCGUGUAACCACAGCACGCAUGGGCGGGCCGCUUGGCAAUGGCCAGGCUCAUGCUCUACUGAGCCCCUGGGGGUCACGACUCCCCUGCUGCUCUGUGCAGAGAAAGAAAAGGCAGUCACCUCUCUCUUCCCUCACUGGAAGGUGAGGCCCAGGGGGUCCGGCCUGUGGGAUGUGAAGAAGCCACACAUUGGUGCCCAUCACCUGGUCCUCAGCCUCUCCUUAGGGCAGAGUCGAGGCCCAGAAGGUUGAAAGAGCUGGAAGCUGGGGAAGAGCCUGCACCAGUGCCUUUGCCUCUUAUCACUCUCCUGACUUUUAAAAUGUAUACCAAAAAAAAGUCAUUUUGAAGCUGUCCAGUUAAGUGAGCUGUAAACUGGAUUUACAAUAUUGCCAAACCUGGUGAGCAGGAAGUACAGGAUCGUUUUGAAUUCAGCAGAUUUUGAAUAAUGCCAGAUCAGGAGUGGAUCUCUGGGAAAAGAAGCCGGAAGAAAAGAAGUCAGAAGUCCAACCACAGCUGGAUGGACUUUUCCACAACAUAAUGUCUGCCUCUCAGACUCAUUCCAUUCACAAGUUGAUUUCUGUCUCCCUGAUCCAUUCAUUCUCCUUAAUAAUCAUUUACUGCUCCUCAAAACAAUGCUCUAUGUUUCCCAUCUCCUCGCUCCCCUGGGAAAAAGAGUACAUAAGCUUCUGUACCCCAUUGGGGGAUUGGGGUAAUCACACUGUAAUUCUCUCCCAUGAAUGUUAAUAAAUGUGUAUCCUUUUUCUCCUACUAAUCUGCCUUUUGUCAGGUGAUUUUCAGUGAACCUUCAGAAGGAAAAGGGGAAGUUUUCCCUUCACCCAUAUGCAGGCAUGUAAAGAUGUUCAUUGCAGUGCUGUUUAUAGCAGAGAAAAUGGCAAACACAAUCAAACAAUAGGGGGAUAGUUAAGAAAAAAAUGCACAGUUGCAGUUAGACUGGUCUCUACCGGCAGGGAGGUUUUUUUUCACCCUUUUUGAUUCUCACAGCAGCCCUAUGAUGUAGACAAAACCGGGUUCACAUUUAUUCUCCCCAUUAUUCAUGGGGGUGGGGGCCAGGAUGCAGACUGAGUUUUGAGAAAUUCUGGGCAGAGCUUCCAACAGGGAAUCAGAUUCUGAACUGGGACAGCUCCCAGGUGUCCUAAAGCGGAAUCCAGAGCUGACUCACAGCAGCGUGUGUCUGACAGGGGGAUCCAGCGGCAAGUCCCUACUCUUGGAUAAAGAUGAAACCACCUUUGCGAAAAUUAUGACAGAGGCCGGGCACGGUGGCUCACACCUGUUAUCCCAGCACUUUGGGAGGCCAAGGCAG